AAAUUGAAGAGUUUGAUCAUGGCUCAGAUUGAACGCUGGCGGCAGGCCUAACACAUGCAAGUCGAACGGUAACAGGAAUCAGCUUGCUGAUUCGCUGACGAGUGGCGGACGGGUGAGUAAUGUCUGGGAAACUGCCUGAUGGAGGGGGAUAACUACUGGAAACGGUAGCUAAUACCGCAUAACGUCGCAAGACCAAAGAGGGGGACCUUCGGGCCUCUUGCCAUCGGAUGUGCCCAGAUGGGAUUAGCUAGUAGGUGGGGUAAAGGCUCACCUAGGCGACGAUCCCUAGCUGGU
rnacentral:rRNA from 1 species